GGCCCGUUAGCUCAACCGGUAGAGCAGCGGACUCUUAAUCCGCGGGUUGAAGGUUCGAGUCCUUCACGGGUCA
rnacentral:tRNA from 2 species